CCUACGGGUGGCAGCAGUGAGGAAUAUUGGUCAAUGGACGAGAGUCUGAACCAGCCAAGUAGCGUGAAGGAUGACUGCCCUAUGGGUUGUAAACUUCUUUUAUAAGGGAAUAAAAUGUGACACGUGUGGGAUUUUGUAUGGACCAUAUGAAUAAGGAUCGGCUAACUCCGUGCCAGCAGCCGCGGUAAGACGGAGGAACCGAGCGUUAUCCGGCUUUAUUGGGUUUAAAGGGAGCGUAGGUGGAUUGUUAAGUCAGUUGUGAAAGUUUGCGGCUCAACCGUAAAAUUGCAGUUGAAACUGGCAGUCUUGCGUACAGUCGCGGUGGGCGGCCUUCGUGUUGUAGCGGU
rnacentral:rRNA from 1 species